rnacentral:lncRNA from 1 species
UUCAUUCCUCCCCAAUCCCGAAGCUGCCGCCAUCCCAAUGUCUCUGCUUCGUGUGUGUGCCCGACCAACCAGCUCAUGUAGCCUCGACCAUGCAGCCAGCUGCGCCUGCCUCCCACGAGCGCAAUGACGACGCGUCCGUGCGCUCAAGGCCCCGCCAGCUCGCCUCCCGUGCAUGCCAUGGGACCAAAACCUCGCAGUGUGCUGCGCUGCAGGCCUCCCAUGGCGCCCGUGCUCCUCGCCCCUAGCUCCCAGUCACGCCUCCUCUGCUUCGACCCCGGCGUUGCUCCGGCAAGCCGUCGAUGACUGGAGCACCACCAUAGGCGAGCUCCACAUCGCCCUAUUCUUCCCCCCGUUCAGUCUCCUCUCUCUCCCUCAUGUCUCCCUCCCUGUGCAUUUGUUCUUCAGGAGCAGCCCAGCCAUGGAGUCAAGCUGCACCCGCCAAGCAUGGACCUCACCGUCGUGGUUUGCUCCAGUCCGGAAGCCCGCGCCGCAAAGGACUCGUUUCUGGCCUCCAUGACCCGUGUCGAUGCCUCCUCGUCAGAGAUCUCGCCGGCGGUAGCGACCAUGAAAAGUUGAAAACCCUUUGUGCCUCUGGGCAGAGGAGGACGAAGCCAGCGCGUGGGCCGCGCCUCGGCCCAGCUAGCACCGGGGCCCAGCGCGUCCCCGAGCCGACCGAGCUCGCUCGGCCUGUGUGCCUCCUCCUCUCGGACUAGGCCAAGGCCCGCGAGGUGUGCAGCCCUCCCCCCCUAUGCCUCGCAUGUGCACGAAUUUUCUAUGUUGUGCCCGCUCUGUACCAUUGGGCCAGUCAGAUUCCGCCUCUUGUAUUUUUUUCUGUUACGACGAAUUUGUCGAAUAUCCAGAGAUAUAAAUAUUACAAAAUAGACCAUUAUUUUGCAUUGCUCGCA